AGCGCCCCGCCCCCACGCCGCCGGCCGCCCGCGCGGGUGUCUCCCUGUGCUCCCAAAACACGGCUCAGGUUCACCGGGUCCUCCCCCGGGGAUCUCAGGGCUGUUGGGGGGUGCUGUGGUUCCCAGAACGCCGCGACACUCUGAAACAGGAAAGGGGACGGCAGAGGGGUCCUGCUGCGGGGGAGCCCUUGAGAAGGCCUGGGUGGAGAGGGACUUGGGGACAGAGGAGGGGAUUCGAGGAGUUUUGGAAGACGCCAGGAUGACGUUCUUAAGCCAUCUGAUGGGUGAAGGGGCUUCUUCACUUCGCUGUGGCUUCACUACUUAGAUGUUAAAGCGGCUUCUCUUCCUAAUAAAAAACAAAGUGUAGCCACUUUUCUGUCCAAGAAAAUAAAAAUUCCCAGAGAAAACC
rnacentral:lncRNA from 1 species